rnacentral:rRNA from 1 species
UACGUAGGGACCGAGCGUUGUCCGGAAUCAUUGGGCGUAAAGAGCGUGUAGGCGGCUUGUUAAGUCUUGCGUGAAAUCUCGGGGCUCAACCCCGAGCGGUCGUGAGAAACUGGCAGGCUAGAGUGCGGGAGAGGAGAGUGGAAUCCUGGUGUAGCGGUGAAAUGCGCAGAUAUCAGGAAGAACACCCGUGGCGAAGGCGGCUCUCUGGGACGGUACUGACGCUGAGACGCGAAAGCGUGGGGAGCGAACAGG